rnacentral:rRNA from 1 species
UACAGAGGUGCCGAGCGUUAGGCGGAAUCGCUGGGCUUAAAGCGCGCGUAGGCGGGCGUCUAAGUGUCUUGUGAAAUCCCACGGCUCAACCGGGGAACUGUUGGGCAUACUGGACGCCUUGAGGCACGCAGGGGCGAGCGGAACAAGUGGUGGAGCGGUGAAAUGCGUAGAUAUCGCUUGGAACGCCGAAGGUGAAAACAGGCUGCUGGGGUUGCGCCGACGCUGAGACACGAAAGCCAGGGGAGCAAACAGG